ACCCCCGUUCAUUAGGCCUCUCUCCAGUCAAGACGCUUGAAUGAGUGGUGUAGGCAAAAGAGAAAAAGAUGAAGACACGCGUUACAUUUAUGUCGGGAAAAAUACACCCCAAAUGGGUUGGUAAUGCUUGUUAUAAAGACGGCGAGUGUGGCUGAGAGGUUGCCCAAGUCACCAGAAGUUUGCAAGGGAAGUGGACGGGCGUCUCAAGCAGUGUAUCAUUUGAUGAUUCCACGUCUGUUCUGUGGGGGGAAAUAGCUGGAUCGCAAUGAAUGCCAACUCCUGCAAGUGUUCAGCCAAUCGGUUCUGCUGCUAGAUGGCAGGGGCCAUUUUAAUUUGUCUGCUUGCUGCCAUUGUGGCAACAAAAGUUCUGCUGGGCCACAAGGUGGUUGAGGGUGUCAACAUCUUUGGAACAAAUGUUGUGUUGCUCCUUUGCCCUGCCCAGACCAGACCGCGGACUCCAGGAUUACUUGUAUAAGUUGACAGGACUUGGAGGAUCUUGAAGUAGAUGGGAGAUUCUUCAAGAGCUUGGGUUGUGAAAUGAAAUGCUUAAUGUAAGCAUUUAGUUGAUUGGGGGACUUUGCUGUAUACUGUGGGCAUGAACAAUUUAUCUUGGCUUUGAUUCCCUCAAGUUGGCAAGACAAUCAAGGAAUUUCAUUGGCGAUAUCUGACACCUUCCUACCAAAGGUUAACACUGACAACUGCUGAUGUAAAAAGGAUAUGUAAUUGAAAGUCAAUUGCCCCUUAUCAUGUGAUUUGUGCUUGCAGUGUUUGAAUAAAAAAAAAUGAGGAGUCAUCUGUGUACUGUUUGACUGGGUAUGGGCUUGCAAAUGGUUUGAUAUGUAACACUACCCCCAUACCUCUUAAGGUUGCCCCUGUAUGAAAGGUUACUAACCAACACAGGCAUUCAAUGCAGAAGUUUCACAUGAAUAGUAAAUGCUCUCUACAGUUUUUCAAUUUUGUCAAGUUUGCUAGUGUAUCAAUUCUAUCCAGCAGUCGGGACUAAGCCACUACAAAUAAUAACCAAUAACAGCCAACAAUGGCCAUGUCAUCCACGGGUACACGCAGAACAAUGGCGCAUAACCGGGUGGUGUAAUGUGAAGCAUCCGGUUAGCGUUUCCACUCACCACCAAAUUUGGUGAUGGGAGAAGGUGGAUUUUUGGCGAACAUUAUGCCACUUUUCUCAUCGGUGACAUUUGCUCCUCGUGUGGGUUUCUUUCCGAAACUAGAAUCUAAUCGGACUGGAAGAAUUGUAGACUUAAGUUUAUCAAAUACGUUUAAGGCAUGCAUGGCCUAAUUGAGUUAUUACGCAUCACAGAUCAGGCGUUACUAAAAUGUAAUAUGCAAAUAAAUGCUAGAACGCACCAAUCGGAGCUCACUAGCUUGUGCUUGACUCUGCCUGCUAUGGUUAAUUUCUACAGUGGAAAGACUGACCGUAGCCUAUCUAGGGUUAUAUAAUCUUUGGUACAGAACUCGUUUCACUCGGCUCGGAAGUAUGCCAGCUAUUUCCGGUUCCAGGUGCGUUCUAUUGUAUGCUAACUAGUUAGCAGCUUCAAUUACUGCAGAUAAUCGGCGACUUUCGCAGUUUUCGGCAUAAACGUUCUAGUUGAUAUCGUAUGGACGUCAUUGUAAAAGAUGCCAGUCGUUUAAGUGGUUACAUCCACGACGUUUAGAUAACAGUUCAGUACGUUUGGCACUCAAAUGAACCUACUUUGCCAAUAAGUUGAUAGCUAGCUACGUGGACGUUUGCGGAUCUUGAUUAGCGAACUGUUAUAGGGGACAAGAUCAAGAAGUGGAAGAGACUCAAGAGAAACACUGUCAGAGAUGUAAUAUUGGCCUGCUACAUUCCUCCACUAAACGUCUUUACCCUGUAAAGUUGGACAUGUUCUUCAGGAAGUACCUGAAAAUAUUGUAGCCAAGUACAUAUAUGUAUAGACUACGAUAUCUUACAAUUGAAUCCCUAAUCUUUACACUGUAGAUGUAAAACUGGCUAUUUGAUUUACUCAGUUGUGUUUUGGUAUGGUUUGUAUGGCACUCACUGUUAUAAGAGCAAAAUUGGCUAAAGCAAGGUGAAAGUCUAUUUGGGGAAGACAUGUAGCUAGUACCUCACAUUGGAAUUUUCCCUUGGGUGUAGGUGUUGUGCUGUGUAGGGACCGUAUUGUUGGUUUCAAUAUAACAUUGAACACCUACAGGUCUUUCAUGUCCUGAGGUGCACACCCUCUUAUUGUUAAUUUGACUCAUGUAAUGUACUAUACUCUAACAUAACCUUUGAGCUGAUAGAAAUAAUAUACAGUUUAACCCGUUAGUACAUUCUUCAUAAGUCCUUUAGUCUAAAAUCCAGACAGAAUUAAGGGAACUAAACUAAGGGAGCUGACAUGACAGCUGUAGUAGGAAGAGUCUGGGGGUGGGUGUGUCCAGCUGGCUCGUACCGGCCCUGGGGCAGCAAAGUAGCAUCUGACAAAAACAUGAAAGACGAGAGGCAGACAAGAGGCAGCUGGGGCUUGGGAGGGUUAACAACAUGGUUUUGGGGAACCGGACAGAAAAGGCAAGCAAGUGACCAAACAACAUUGAUUGACGAGUACUGGGAAGCAAGUGAGGAGAAAAUCCAGUCCCUGGAAAUUGAAGAUCUGGGCAAGGGCAAGCAGGUGGCUGAGGGGAAAGCAGAACAUGGUGGCUCCAGAUGGUGGACUAAGGUUCUGCCGUCCUCCGACUUCCUCUGGCCAAGAGCAGCUGAACCUGGUGGGCUCAAGCAGAGGAAAUGUAUCGGUGGAGGAUGGGACUCUGACAACGAUGGGGAGUAUUCUGACUAUGGAACUCCUCCACCUUCUCCCACACCUAGCUCCUCAUCAGCCUUCCGGUUCUUUGCACGUGCCUGGAAUGGGGAGAUAGUUCCGGAACACUAUGAGAUCUGCUUCAACCUCCUUCGCCACCUGUUUGACCUGCUCGUGGUGGGCUUCCUGUGGACUGUGUCCCCCCCUACCAAGUUGGUCCUGGAGAUGCUAGGGGUCCAAGGAGGACUGAAGUUGUGGCUCCAUGGAAUGGCAAUGUUUUUUGUCUCCACUGUUGGAAUGGCAGGACUGCUCUGGUUGGUCCAGGAGUAUCUUCCACAUUUUGCUCUGGUGUACGGCAUCGUGCAAGCACUAGUCAUCUCUGUCAGCGUCCGGCAGUGUGUGAUCUUAGGAGAGGGCGAUGAGGUGGAGGAAGAGAAAGGAGAAAAGGAGGUGGAAGAUGAGGAGGAGGAGGAAGUGGGAGACGAUGGGGAAGUUACAGAAAUGUACCUGACUACAAAAUAAUACAUCAGAGGAAAGAUGAUCCCUGAAAGAAAGUUUGUUUUGGAAAUCCUUUGACAUGGAGGAAAGUUGGAGGGAAGAGGGAUGUUUGUGUGUGUGUGUGUGUGUGUGUGUGUGUGUGGGGGGGGGGGGGGGGGGGGGGGGUUGUUUCGGGACCCUGAUGUGGAGGGACUGAGAAGUUACGUUUCGACAGCCUAUCAAUGCAAAGACAGUCACGUGAAAAGAGCUGAGCCCACUGUGUUCAAUGAGGAGAGGGAGAGGCUGAAGGACUUUGAAGCUACAUUUCACCUCACUACUGUGAUAUUCAUUGGAGCUGAGGCAAAGCACAUCCACUACAAUCUUGGUCAAAUAGGCCCCAGUGAUAACACUGUUGUGUUGAGUUUCCCUCCCCCUAAAAUACUUUUCUUUGAGACUCAAAUUCAUACAAUUAUGUUUAAUUAGACAUGGCAAGAGGGAUUCUUUUGUUUUGUUCAGAUUCACUUUUGAAUAUCUACUCGACAGAUACCAGCACCUUUUUUUUCAUAGUUUCCUUUCAAAGCUUGAUGUUUGUUUUUUGGACGUAAGGUUUAUUCGCCUUUUCUGUUUAUUUCCUGUGCCAUAAUACUGCAUGUGUAGGUAGUUUAACUUUACAAGUAUGCCUUAAUAUAUUAUCCCUGUCUUUCUCCACGAUAAUCAAAUUCUCAAUAGUACACUACAAAUUGAACACAUUUAUAUAUGUAUCUGUCUUAUCACACAUAUGGUUCCUGAUUUGAAAGGUAACUUACAGACCAGAAACAACACAUUUAUAUAUGUAUCUGUCUUAUCACACAUAUGGUUCCUGAUUUGAAAGGUAACUUACAGACCAGAAACAUUCAAUGGUAACCCUUUUUAUUAUUUUUUUGAAAAUGUGUUUAUAUGUAACUUGGUUGUGCAGUUAUCCAGUAGCAAGUUUUGCACAAUCCCAUAGAAACCAACAGUCAAGCUCAGGAACACUAAAUUCUACCUGCAAAGGUUUUCUUCCUCCUCAGCAUGAGCCACAAUCUACAGUAUUGCAUGUGGAAGAGGUUUUUUUUUACCCACAGUGCCCCUGUAUCAUGAAAGAAUGUUCUAGUUUCUACAAUGGCCUUUUUCAGAUGGCUGUAUCUGUUUUGCUGCGAUACAAAAAAACCUAUCAAAACUUCACAGUGAUGCAGAACGUUAUACGAUACUACCCUCGCUGCGUACUGAUAAUGAGAACUUUGAACAGUGAUACCAUUAUCUGCAAUUCCUCUCUGCCUUUUAUCUCGUGUGUGUUUUUGUCACAUUUUUGACUUGUUACUCCAUGUGUUGAUUAUAAAGAAAGAUGUUGUUUUGUAACGAGAAUGUGCAAUGUCCCCAGACAAGUGCUGGAUCACUGUCAAAAUGACUCGAGAAUCAGAUUCUCAAAAGGUAGCAAAACAAUCACAUAAAAAUUCACCAUGGCCAUGUUCAGUAGCCAAACAUUGAUCAAUGUUGCAGAUGUAAAAAAUGCCAUGAAACGAGUGACAUAAUAUCUCAUAUGGUGUGUUUAUCCCUAGAAGGCACCCUAUUUCCUAUAUAGCCCUAUGGGUCCUGGUCAAAAGUAGUGCACUAUGUGUGGAAUAGGGUGCCAUUUGGGAUGCAUCCAAGGCCAUGUGUCAGGUAUUGGGAGCUCUCCGUCAAUAGGAUUCAUACUUUUGGCAGCCAGGACAAAGACCAGAAUAACCUCACUGAUGAGGUCCCUGGAUGUGACCUGGUCAUUUGACUUAUUUCUACUCGUCUCCAUGGCCACAAACCACUAAUUCAGUAUCCCUCUGUGUUGACCUAUAGUGAGAUGAGGUAACUACGGUACAGUCCUGGAAACCUGAACGGUCUUGUAGGUGGGGUUGAUGGGAGACCCAGGGGUUUAUUCAUUAGUGCACACCGUAGAUAAACAUUGUGCAACGGAAAUUAGUUCUGGUAGUCUUCCCCCUUUUGGCCUGUUUGCUUACAUUUGGUUCCUAGUGAAUACACCCCUGGCCUGAACUAUCAGUGUUGUAGGAGAGAUUGUUGGGAGGUCCAGAACUAAUAUAAUAAUAAACCAAUAUUCUAAUUUC